UGAUUGAGCACCUGGUGGGAAGGCAGGGCCAACCCAGGGGAGCUCAGGUGCAUGCAGUGUGCCUGAGUGACUAGAAUGGGUGGAGCCAGGAUCCACCCCUUCCAGACCUCAUUUAAGGGUUGGCAGUGGAGGCAAGGGUAUCUCUCUGGAUGUCUGUAUGUAUCUGAGGUCUUCUUAAGGUUUGGAUUUUUAUUAAAAAAAACAGAUACUUGUUGGCACAUUUUGCACAGUGUGGCGUUAAACGUUCCUCAAAACAGUGUGUGUGUGGAACUUGAAUGGAAGGGCAGCUCACAGUACAAGAGCAGUUUAAUAUGGGAAACCUUUACUCAAGCAAUGCCAAAGAGUGAGCAAGGUGAAGAGAGCCUGUCAAAAUUGAGCAAUAGCAUUGAACUGAUUAGCUGCUUAACAGUUAACUAGUGAUACUCUGUUUUUAAACUGCCUGUGCUUUCAGUAUAUGUCCUAGAGUGUGCUGUUCUUCUCUCCCAUGUAAAUAUUCACUGCUGUACUACACAAAAUGGCUGCUAAAUAUGCCUGUCAUAUCAAAGAGUGAAGCAUGAAAGUACAAUGGGCAUUUGUAUCUGAAGGAUAUAAAGGACUGUAUGUGGAAUCUGCUGCGGGUUUAGUGAUGUCCAGUGGAGCUGCUGGAAAUGUAUUCUAUUCUGAAAUGUAAUCCUAUUCAAGAACUAGACUUGUAUGUAAUUGGCAGUGAUCAGCUGCUUCAUACCACCAUGUAAUUCCCCGGUUAUUCUAUUCUUUGUACUCUUGCUUAUGAAUAUCUAAUUAGCAUAACAAAUUUACAGUGACUUCUUAAUGUGUAGUAUGCUAAAUGUUCCUAUUGGAUUAUGGGGUAAUCUGAUUUACUGAAAUCCUUGAACAGCCAUUCUCAAUAACCUCUGUGUGGACAUACAGGAUCUGCUGAUGUGACUGUCUUCUAGUCUGAAAACACUCAGGAAAAUGGCCUGUGACAAACAUACCUUGCUCAGCUUUUUUGCUCGGUUCCAUUGAAACAUGCAUUGCCUACAAUAUAUGUGAAUGAAGAAUUGAAGUUUCACGCUGCCUAUUCCUUGUUACUUCUCUGUCCUGGUAUUAAUGAUACUGGAGACCAGAUGGCUGACUCUAGAAGGAAAGAAUGUACUUGUGUAUGUUGUGUGUGUGAGGGUAUGUGAAUGUUAAUUUGUCCUCCACGGCUAUAUAAUAGGGUAAGAAUAAUUGACUGGUCACACAUUUUAUUACAAGAUAGUUUGGGGUACAUCUAAAAAAAAAAGUUGAAGAGUUGACAGAAGAGCUUCUCUUCUGGGAAGAGAAGAGGAAGCCAUCUGCCUCCAUCCUGUCUAUCUGAAGGUGGUCUUGCCUCCAUUCAUGCAUCAUGAACUUCUAGGUCAACUGAGUUUAAGUCACGUGGUUGGAUCAGAAUGGCUAGCUGCUCCAGAUUGUGCUCUCUAGGAAGAAAACUUGGGAGAGCUUGUGGGUUUUUAAUGCAAUCACCAGGCUUUGAUUCGGAAUCAGCUCAUGAAAUGAGGAUAAUUGUUAUAGUAAGCACAUCCAGAAAUCUAAAUGUUUGGAGCAAAUUAUGCAUUCAACUCAAGUAAUGCUGUAAGACAACAUCUUGUUUAAAUGGGUUUUGGGAGUAUCCCACUGGAACUGAUGGUUGAAUAUCUAUAUGGAACCAAUACAGAUGCACUCUUCAACACUGAUCAAGGUCUGAGAUGGUGAAUAUCAAUGUCAGCCCAAGUAUAUAGAAUUGUGAAUUGACAGUGUAAUUACUGCUUUGUGAAGAGAUGCAUUAGUAAUUCACUUAUGCUGAAUUUAAGUCCUUCUUAUAUCCAUUUGUUCAAGAUUCCAAUAUCUUGUUAACAUCUUUGGGAAUGUGUAUGUUUUUGGAUAAUGCCUAAUUGUAAGAUCCCCUCUUUACCUGGAGUGUAGCGGAAGCCUGAUAAAUGUCCAAUAGUAUAGUAAAGGUACAUAUUUAACAAUUAGUGUGUUUACAGGAGGAAGCCCAAAUAAGAAAAUUCUCUUGAGAAAGAGGUCUUGUUUGUCAAACAGCAAUUGAUUAAAAAUAAGACAGACUCUGGUAUAACAUCCAAGUCUUUGUUGGUAGUGAACAGAUGCUACACCAGCAGUCAUGGGACUUUCAUAGAACUGCUAUGAAUAUGUUCACAGCAUGAGAAGAUGGGCAACAUGCUGUUAAAAUGCUGCUUUCCAAAUCCCAGGCCUUCUACAGUUCUGCUAUAGAGCCUUCUUUAGGCAUGCCUUUGAAUUAAGGAAGAUCCAUUAUGAUCUAACAUUCUGAAAUUGUGUCAGUGAUAUUAUAGUUUAGUCUGUUUAGGGCUAAAGGGUUGGGAAGGAAAAUAUCAAUCUUACUGUAUCCUGAUGUCAAACAAUCUAUAUUUGGCUUUGAGAUUCUUGGUUCAAGUGCUAAUCAAAACUCUUUUCAUAAAUUGUAAAAUGAUUGAAAAAAAGAUUUAAUUAGCCAGAUUCAUUUGUCUUUACAGUAGACAUAAAAAGCCACUGUACAGUGUCAAAAGGCAUUUUUAUUUUUUGCUUAUUAACCAUUAUUUAGAAGAGGUGGAUGCUGUUGGACAGAGUCUCUAGCCUGUAGCUGCACAGAAUACAACAUGAAGAGUUUACUUUUGUGUUCUUAUAACUCUUUACAGUAACUUGACUACCUUGUAUGCUUGAUAUAGUAGAGAUAAUAAAAGAAAAUGAGCCUAAAGGAAGAUGCAGAGUGAUUGAGCACUGGUUAAUUAGCAGGCUAUUUAACAAACUGUCAUAUUUUUCCUGGGGAGGAUGAUAAUAUUUGAGAAGAGGUACAACAAUAAAUAACCUGCAAAACUGUUAAGAGGUAAAGAAGAAUUAGUGACUCUUAGAAUUCUAGCUGUGUUUUAGGUUGAGCUAUGUAUGAAGUAGUUUCUAUUAGUCUCACAGAAGAGGGACAAUUACAAGGAAACAGGCUAAGAAGUUUACUGACCUAUUUUGUGACUUAAUUUAAGGGUUAAAUGUGAGUAGUUCAAAUAGAUGCGAGAUCUUGCUGAAGAUUGAAGACCAGAAGGUCGAGAGUUUGGAGAAAAAUUAAGUAAAACACAUCAGAAAACUGUUCUUAUGGUGUAAUAAAGUUGAAUGGCUCAUAGUUCAGUAGGGAGUGUAUAUGAUUACUUAGUUUCCCUUUGUAUUUAUGAGUGUUUUUUUUAAGGGAAUAAUUGUUAAGGUAAUGCUGGGCAGGAGGAAUGUCAGGUGUCUCCAGUUGGGCCAGGCAGGGCUACUAUUUCUCAUUCGAAGGCAGCUGGUGCUAAAGGGAAUUGUGGAAGAGGACUGAAGAGAGGAGGGGAGUUAAUGGCUCUAGUGUCUGCUGUUAUAUGUGACUCCAGGAACAUGAAUCCAGGGCUCACAAAUCAAGUGCAUUGCUUCUGACUUUUUUUGAGGCAUAUAUUUCACUUUAACCAUAUAAUCUCCCCUGAUCAUCCUACAUCUAUGAAAAUUACUUUUUUUUUUCUGACCAAAAAAAUGAUCCUGAAUUCUUUUAAAAACAACCUUCUUAUGCAAGUAAUUGGUGCAGCUUAAUGAGGUCAGAGAGGCUAGAAAAACACUUGGGUCUGAGGGCCUGGAAUCCUUACUGUGCGCACUGCGAUAAGGAGUUUCUUGGUAAAGUCUUGCUAGUCCUGUG
ensembl:lncRNA